GAUUCUGGCUCAGGAUGAACGCUAGCUACAGGCUUAACACAUGCAAGUCGAGGGGCAGCAUUAUCGAAGUUUGCUUGAUAGAUGGCGACCGGCGCACGGGUGAGUAACGCGUAUCCAACCUUCCCCUUAGUAGGGCAUAGCCCGUAGAAAUGCGGAUUAAUACCCUAUGUUGUAUUAUGAGGACAUCUGGAUAAUACCAAAGGUUCACCGCUAAGGGAUGGGGAUGCGUCUGAUUAGGUUGUUGGCGGGGUAACGGCCCACCAAGCCAUCGAUCAGUAGGGGUUCUGAGAGGAAGGUCCCCCACAUUGGAACUGAGACACGGUCCAAACUCCUACGGGAGGCAGCAGUGAGGAAUAUUGGUCAAUGGGCGAGAGCCUGAACCAGCCAAGUAGCGUGCAGGAUGACGGCCCUAUGGGUUGUAAACUGCUUUUAUACAGGGAUAAAGUCGGGGACGUGUCCCCGUUUGUAGGUACUGUAUGAAUAAGGACCGGCUAAUUCCGUGCCAGCCGCUGC
rnacentral:rRNA from 1 species